AUUGAACGCUGGCGGCAGGCCUAACACAUGCAAGUAGAGCGGAGCGGCGGACGGGGGGGUGAUGCCUAGGAAUCUGCCUGGUAGUGGGGGAUAACGUCCGGAAACGGGCGCUAAUGCCGCAUACUAUCAGGUGAGCCUGGGUCGGAUUGGCUAGCUGGUGGGGUAAAGGCCUACGAAGGCGACGAUCCGUAACUGGUCUGAGAGGAUGAACAGGCACACUGGAACUGAGACAAGGCACAGAAUCCUACGGGAGGCAGCCGUGGGGAAUAUUGUACAAUGGGCGAAAGCCUGAUGCAGCCAUGCCGCGUGUGUGAAGAAGGCCUUCGGAUUGUAAAGCACUUUAAGCUGGGAGGCGUUACCUUCAGAAUAAGCACCGGCUAACUACGUGCCAGCAGCCGCGGUAAUUC
rnacentral:rRNA from 1 species